UACGGAGGGUGCGAGCGUUGUCCGGAAUCAUUGGGCGUAAAGGGCGCGUAGGUGGCCUGCUAAGCGUGCGGUGAAAGCUCGGGGCUCAACCCCGAGUCGGCCGUGCGAACUGGUGGGCUUGAGCACUGUAGAGGCAGGCGGAAUUCCGGGUGUAGCGGUGGAAUGCGUAGAGAUCCGGAAGAACACCGGUGGCGAAGGCGGCCUGCUGGGCAGUAGCUGACACUGAGGCGCGACAGCGUGGGGGAGCAAACAGG
rnacentral:rRNA from 1 species